UACGUAGGGUGCAAGCGUUGUCCGGAAUUAUUGGGCGUAAAGAGCUCGUAGGCGGUUUGUCGCGUCGGCUGUGAAAACUCGGGGCUCAACCCCGAGCCUGCAGUCGAUACGGGCAGACUAGAGUGCUGUAGGGGAGACUGGAAUUCCUGGUGUAGCGGUGAAAUGCGCAGAUAUCAGGAGGAACACCGGUGGCGAAGGCGGGUCUCUGGGCAGUAACUGACACUGAGGCGCGACAGCGUGGGGAGCAAACAGG
rnacentral:rRNA from 1 species